GCGCCCUUAGCUCAGCCGGACAGAGCACCGGACUUCUAAUCCGACGGUCGCAGGUUCGAAUCCUGCAGGGCGCG
rnacentral:tRNA from 1 species